ensembl:lncRNA
GGAAAGAUAGAGGAAAAACUGUCAUUUCUUUCCCUUCCUCCCUCCUAUUUACCUUUUUCUGGUUGACCGUAAUUUCCAAAGGAAACAAACCUUGGCUAUUUAAGGGAGGUGGGGGCGGGGGUGAGAAGGCAGAACCGGGCUCCUACAGGGGACAGCCGUGGCCAUCCUCCUGUCUCUGCUGGCCGAGCUGGCCUGGAUCUCUGUGCAGAAUCUUAGGUCCGUUGCCUCCAGGUUGCGGGGAGCCAGAGCAGGCACAGGAAGGACAAGACAGAGCAGGAGCAGGAGAGGGAAGGAGAAAGCACGUCCAUUUGGGCGAACGCCGGGCCGGCGGGCUGACGGGGCAGAUCGAACGCUGGAGUCGAUGCAAAGCACUUUCCUUUUGAUCUGCUCAUGAAACUCUCACCGCAACGCUCUGGAGUGGGUAGCACUAUUGUUCCUGCCUCACAGAUGAAGCAACUGAGAGCUGGCCCAACAAGCAACUUCCCCAAAGUCUCCCAGGGAGGAUGCAGCUGACCCAGAAUCUGACAUCAUCCUGAUAGCACAGCUGGUGCCUGGACCAGUGUGCACUGAAGGGUGGAUCAUGUCCUAGGUGGAAAAGGGGACAGCAGUGACUUGAGCCCCCAGGGCUCUCCAGCCACAGGGGGAGGUAGAAAAACACAUGUGAGGAGGAAAACCUAGAUGCAAGUCCUGGCUCAGCCACUUGCUGUGUGGCUUCUGAAAGAUCACUUUGCCUCUCUGAGCCUCCUUUUCUUCAUCUAAAAAGAAAGGACUGUGCUGAGCAUUGGCUGUGGCAACAAAAGUGACGCAUUUUGUAAAAGGUAACACGCCACGUGAAUUAAGACGGAACAAUCUCUCCCGUCCACCACCUCCUUCUGUCCCGGAACUUGCUGGUCGCUCAAGAUCUGGGGUCAUUGCAUUCCAUUACAGAGGUGGGGCCCACGUAUUUUAAACUGCAUUUUCAGGCCGGCCCAGUUGCUCAGUGGUUGAGUCUGCACGUUCUGCUUUGCUGGCCCGGGGUUCACCAGUUCGGAUCCCGGGUGCGGACAUGGCACCGCUUGGCAAGCCAUGCUGUGGUGGGCGUCCCACAUAUAAAGUACAGGAAGAUGGGCAUAGAGGUUAGUUCAGGGCCAGUCUUCCUGAGCAAAAAGAGGAGGAUUGGCAGAGAUGUUCGCUCAGGGAUAAUCUUCCUCAAAAAAAGUAAAUAAAAUAAACUUAAAACAAACUGUAUUUUCUUCUUCAAUAGGUAAUCUAUUCACACAGUUCAAAAAUUUAAAAUUAUAAAAAGGUACAUCAUGAAAACGCUCCCGUAUAGUGGAUGAAAUCAGUCUGGGGGGUCUCCAUCCAGAUGAUAUCCCUUAGCACACCAUCCAGACGAGCAUACAGGCUGUUUCUCUUUUGCCUUUUUUUUUUAAAAUUUUUUUCCUUUUUCUCCCCAAAGCCCCCCGGUACAUAGUUGUAUAUUCUUCAUUGUGGGUCCUUCUAGUUGUGGCAUGUGGGACGCUGCCCCCGCGUGGUUGGAUGAGCAGUGCCAUGUCCACGCCCAGGAUUCGAACCAACGAAACACUGGGCUGCCUGCAGCGGAGCGCGCGAACUUAACCACUCGGCCACGGGGCCAGCCCCAUCUCUUUUGCCUUUUUGACCAGAUGGUGCAUGCCAGUCCAUUUCUUCAUUGAGAAUUGAAGCCUGCCGGCCCCACAGCCUGCUCCUCUCCUGCUUUGCUGUGCUUUUGUUUUUGCACUUUGCGUUAGCCCUGGGACACGCUUCAUAUCUGUUCACCAGCUCUUAAUGCUUUGUUCUGGCCACUGUAUUC